rnacentral:rRNA from 1 species
UACGUAGGUGGCAAGCGUUGUCCGGAAUUAUUGGGCGUAAAGCGCGCGCAGGCGGCUUCUUAAGUCCAUCUUAAAAGUGCGGGGCUUAACCCCGUGAUGGGAUGGAAACUGGGAGGCUGGAGUAUCGGAAAGGAAAGUGGAAUUCCUAGUGUAGCGGUGAAAUGCGUAGAGAUUAGGAAGAACACCGGUGGCGAAGGCGACUUUCUGGACGACAACUGACGCUGAGGCGCGAAAGCGUGGGGAGCAAACAGG